rnacentral:rRNA from 1 species
UGCCAGCCGCCGCGGUAAUACGGAGGGUGCAAGCGUUGUUCGGAAUCAUUGGGCGUAAAGCGAGUGUAGGCGGUCGAGUAAGUCACGUGUGAAAUCCCGGGGCCCAACCCUGGAACUGCACGCGAUACUGCUCGACUAGAGUUCCGGAGAGGGUGGCGGAAUUCCCGGUGUAGGGGUGAAAUCCGUAGAUAUCGGGAGGAACACCAGUGGCGAAGGCGGCCACCUGGACGGUAACUGACGCUCAGACUCGAAAGCGUGGGGAGCGAACAGGAUUAGAUA